UAGCGCAGUGGUUAAGCGCUUGGCUGCUAACCAAAAGGUUGGUGGUUCGAACCCACC
rnacentral:tRNA from 1 species